rnacentral:rRNA from 1 species
GUCCUAGCCCUAAACGAUGGGUACUAGGUAGUGGACUAGACAUGGGUUCACUGCCGAAGCAAAAGUGUUAAGUACCCCGCCUGGGGAGUAUGGUCGCAAGGCUGAAACUCAAAGGAAUUGACGGGGGCUCACACAAGCGGUGGAGCAUGUGGCUUAAUUCGAGGCUACGCGAAGAACCUUAUCCUAGGCUUGACAUGUGCGAAAGCGCCGGGAAGUAGGCUGCGGAAACGUUAGCCGAACGGUAUCCAGUCCGGAACUCGGUACAGGUGCUGCAUGGCUGUCGU